ACGCGUAGGUAACCUGCCUUGUAGCGGGGGAUAACUAUUGGAAACGAUAGCUAAUACCGCAUAACAAUGGAUGACACAUGUCAUUUAUUUGAAAAGGGGCAAAUGCUCCACUACAAGAUGGACCUGCGUUGUAUUAGCUAGUAGGUGAGGUAACGGCUCACCUAGGCGACGAUACAUAGCCGACCUGAGAGGGUGAUCGGCCACACUGGGACUGAGACACGGCCCAGACUCCUACGGGAGGCAGCAUG
rnacentral:rRNA from 1 species